rnacentral:lncRNA from 1 species
UGAUUUUAUCUCUGGCAGUUACAUGGGUUUCAAAUUACCUUGCUGAAACCAAACAAAAAGGUUUUGGUUUCUUUGGUUAAUAGUUUCAUAAUAGAUGUGUAUACCCAUCAUGUUCAAUUCUUGCAUGUUUUUGUUGCUCGUUGUUCCAUUGUUCAUUACAAUUUUCUACUUUUUUGUAUGAUUUUUAAAUCAAUAUUCAGAAUGCACAUCUCGUGAAUUCUGAAUACAUGGUCAAAAUAAGAUAUGUUGUAAGACCAGAACUAUGCAUUUCUUGGAUAAUUUUAUUGCCACGAUUAUAUAUA